UGGGGAAUCUUGCACAAUGGGCGAAAGCCUGAUGCAGCGACGCCGCGUGAGGGAUGACGGCCUUCGGGUUGUAAAACUCUGUUCUGAAGGAAGAAGUUCUGACGGUACUUCAGGAGAAAGCACCGGCUAACUACGUGCCAGCAGCCGCGGUAAUACGUAGGGUGCGAGCGUUGUCCGGAUUUAUUGGGCGUAAAGAGCUCGUAGGCGGUUUGUCGCGUCGGCCGUGAAAACCUACAGCUUAACUGUGGGCUUGCGGUCGAUACGGGCAGACUUGAGUUCGGCAGGGGAGACUGGAAUUCCUGGUGUAGCGGUGAAAUGCGCAGAUAUCAGGAGGAACACCGGUGGCGAAGGCGGGUCUCUGGGCCUUACCUGACGCUGAGGAGCGAAAGCGUGGGGAGCGAACAGGAUUAGAUACC
rnacentral:rRNA from 1 species